rnacentral:rRNA from 1 species
AGUGAACGCUGGCGGUAGGCCUAACACAUGCAAGUCGAACGGCAGCACAGUAAGAGCUUGCUCUUGCGGGUGGCGAGUGGCGGACGGGUGAGGAAUACAUCGGAAUCUACUUUUUCGUGGGGGAUAACGUAGGGAAACUUACGCUAAUACCGCAUACGACCUACGGGUGAAAGCAGGGGAUCUUCGGACCUUGCGCGAUUGAAUGAGCCGAUGUCGGAUUAGCUAGUUGGCGGGGUAAAGGCCCACCAAGGCGACGAUCCGUAGCUGGUCUGAGAGGAUGAUCAGCCACACUGGAACUGAGACACGGUCCAGACUCCUACGGGAGGCAGCAGUGGGGAAUAUUGGACAAUGGGAGCAAGCCUGAUCCAGCCAUACCGCGUGGGUGAAGAAGGCCUUCGGGUUGUAAAGCCCUUUUGUUGGGAAAGAAAAGCAGCAGGUUAAUACCCCGCUGUUCUGACGGUACCCAAAGAAUAAGCACCGGCUAACUUCGUG